rnacentral:rRNA from 1 species
UACGAAGGGGGCUAGCGUUGCUCGGAAUCACUGGGCGUAAAGCGCACGUAGGCGGCUUCUUAAGUCAGGGGUGAAAUCCUGGAGCUCAACUCCAGAACUGCCUUUGAUACUGAGAAGCUUGAGUCCGGGAGAGGUGAGUGGAACUGCGAGUGUAGAGGUGAAAUUCGUAGAUAUUCGCAAGAACACCAGUGGCGAAGGCGGCUCACUGGCCCGGUACUGACGCUGAGGUGCGAAAGCUAGGGGAGCGAAAGGG